GUUUUUUAGUUGCUGCUUCUUCAGUCUCUGCUGAAAGGCUUGUCUCCUUGCUGUGUUUUGUGGGGUUUGCCAUCAUGUUACGGAUCUUUCUGACUUCCCACCUAGAUCUUAUCUUUUCAGCCCCCAGAAGCACCAUCUGAUCUUCUCUACUCCUGCUGUCAUGCCUCAGAGCACUUUUGGGGGGAAUCUGGGCACUAGGACCACAUUGUAUCGCUCAGCAGUUCUUUUUCAGUCCCCAGGAGCACUAUUAGACCACCUCCAUCCCUGCUCUGAUCCCACAGACUGCUGUUGAGAGAAAUCCAGGCACUAGGGCUACCUUGACCACUCCAGAGCAGAUGUUGCACACUUCCCAGCCUUGAGGACCAUCUCUUUGCUGUUUAGACCAACAGGAGAAAUGUCGGACCUGUCCUACCCUCAGGAUGACACCUUGGGAUGUACUACUACCUC